GGGCCCGCACAAGCAGUGGAGUAUGUGGUUUAAUUCGAAGCAACGCGAAGAACCUUACCAGGGCUUGACAUCCCUCUGACCGCUCUAGAGAUAGAGCUUCCCUUCGGGGCAGAGGAGACAGGUGGUGCAUGGUUGUCGUCAGCUCGUGUCGUGAGAUGUUGGGUUAAGUCCCGCAACGAGCGCAACCCCUGUUGUUAGUUGCCAGCAUUCAGUUGGGCACUCUAACGAGACUGCCGGUGAUAAAUCGGAGGAAGGUGGGGACGACGUCAAAUCAUCAUGCCCCUUAUGUCCUGGGCUACACACGUACUACAAUGGCGAUUACAGAGGGAAGCAAGACAGCGAUGUGGAGCAAAUCCCCAAAAAUCGCCCCAGUUCAGAUUGCAGGCUGCAACUCGCCUGCAUGAAGUCGGAAUUGCUAGUAAUGGCAGGUCAGCAUACUGCCGUGAAUACGUUCCCGGGCCUU
rnacentral:rRNA from 1 species